AACUGUAUUUUAAAUCUUGGUAGAAAUUUAGUUUUUAAAUAGUAAUAUGAAAUUCCUCUAAUUUAAAUUUCACUUUUAAAUUUUAAGUAUUUAAUUUUUAAAAUUUAAAUUCAUCGUAUUUAGAAAUAAAACUAUUUCUAAAAUUUCUAUAAUUUAAAUUAAUGCAUAAUUUGAGAAACACUAAAAUAUUUAAAGUAGAUUCCUAAAUUAAUGCCUAAUAAUUUCAUAAAUUUGGUUAAUCAAUUAAUUUUCUAAAUUAGUACUAAUUAAUGCAUAAAUUUAGGACCUCAAUUAAAAAUUUCUUUAAAUAUUGUAUUAUUUAAUUACCAAACUAACCUUGAAUAAAAUAAUCAUUUUACCUGCUAAGUAUUAAACUUAUAUUUUUACCCUCUAUUAAUCAACGGUUAAGAUUUUUUUUAUUUUUUUAAAAAAAAGUACCGAAUCAUUUCUCCCCUAAUAAUAAUAGCUAGGCUUAAGUAUUUUAGGCCGGUGAUUUUGGCUCACCAAAUUAUUAUUGUUAGUGAUCGAGUCAUUACAUUUGAUAUCGAAGCCGAUUCACCAGCUGAAAGUGUGAGAUAAGUUUUGGCCGAGUCAGGGUGGAAUGACAGAUUAAGAUAGGGUCGGUGAAUGACAGGCUGAAUUAGGAUCGGAAUGAGAAGACUAGUGAACAUCGUUCGAUUCGCUAGCUGAAAGUAUAGGAUAAGUUUUGACCGAGUCAGAAUCGAAAUGAUAUAUUAAGAUAGGAUCGGUGAAUGACAGACCAAGUCAGGAUCGAAAUGAUAAGAUUAGCGAACAUCGCUCGAAAUGACAGAUUAAGUCAGGAUGGAAAUGAUAAAACUAAUAAAAAUUGUCAGAUCACUGUGUGU
rnacentral:lncRNA from 1 species